UUCUGGUGUGUAUAAAUCAGUGGUUUGC
rnacentral:piRNA from 1 species